GUCUACGACCACACCACGUUGAAAGCACGACAUCUCGUCCGAUCUGUUAAGUUAAGCAACGUUGGGCCUGGUUAGUACUUGGAUCGGAGACGGCCUGGGAAUCCCAGGUGUUGUAGACA
rfam:Loa loa cont3.4215, whole genome shotgun sequence.